CCUACGGGUGGCAGCAGUGGGGAAUAUUGCGCAAUGGGCGAAAGCCUGAUGGAGCAACGCCGCGUGCAGGAUGAAGGCCCUCGGGUUGUAAACUGCCUUUAUAAGCGAGAAAUAUGAUGGCAACUUAUGAUUAAGGAUCGGCUAACUACGUGCCAGCAGCCGCGGUCAUACGUAGGAUCCGAGCAUUAUCCGGAGUGACUGGGUGUAAAGAGUUGCGUAGGUGGCAUGGUAAGUAGCUAGUGAAAUCUGGUGGCUCAACCAUUCAGACUAUUAGCUAAACUGGUAAGCUCGAGACCGUUAGGGGUAACUGGAAUUUCUAGUGUAGGAGUGAAAUCCGUAGAUAUUAGAAGGAACACCGAUAGCGUAGGCAGGUUACUGGGACGGUUCUGACACUAAGGCACGAAAGCGUAGGGAGCAAACGGGAUUAGAUACCCUAGUAGUC
rnacentral:rRNA from 1 species